UACGUAGGGGGCAAGCGUUGUCCGGAAUCAUUGGGCGUAAAGAGCGUGUAGGCGGCCAUACAGGUCAGCUGUGAAAACUCGAGGCUCAACCUCGAGAUGUCGGUUGAAACCGUAUGGCUAGAGUCCGGAAGAGGAGAGUGGAAUUCCCGGUGUAGCGGUGAAAUGCGCAGAUAUCGGGAAGAACACCCGUGGCGAAGGCGGCUCUCUGGGACGGUACUGACGCUGAGACGCGAAAGCGUGGGGAGCGAACAGG
rnacentral:rRNA from 1 species